rnacentral:lncRNA from 1 species
AAGGAUGCUCCAGCACAAGAUGCUGAUAGAAUCACAGAUCUAGAGGAAGCUGACCAGCUCCAAGUCUUCUCUACCAUUUCCCAUGAAGAAACUGAGGCUCAGGUGAAACAACUUGCUGGAGUCCCAUAGCUUCUCCACUCCGGAGCCCACACCUGUACACAGAACCAUCUUUUGUCUCUGAAAAGGGGUCAUGAUGGCUCCUUUGUAGGGCUGAAGACAAUCUUCACUCAUUCUGGGAUAACUUCAAAGACUAUCUGAUGAUGCCUGGGAUGGGUUCAGUACGGGGCUGACACACAGCAGGCCCUCAUUAUGUCACCCAGUUCUUCCUGGGGUUUAAUCUGACCCAGGCCCCAGGCCUCAAGGGGGGAGGCCUCGUGGGGUCCAGCUUCUUCAGCCUCUGUCCCACCCACCAGGGAGCUCGCUCUCCUCUCACAUCCCAACUGCCUUCCCCUCGGUCACUCCAAGUUGAAAGAAAAUGAAAACCAGGCCUCCUGUCAGGGCUUUGACAGCCGAGGCUGUAUCUCUUCCAUCUCUGUUACUCCAGAAAGGUCUGGAAUGGUGCAUCUAGUUAAUAUAAAUAGCCUCAGAGCUGAACUGUGCACCCUUUCAGCCUCAUGGGUCACAGAGGUUUUCUUUCUCUCCAUCGCUCCCUUCACACCUAUGAAUGCUUAACCAGGGCACCAUCCCAUCCUCAUGUCAGACCUGAGUGGUGGACGUCCCCACC